ACGGCUACAUCACGUUGAAACACCAGUUCCCGUACGAUCACCAAAGUUAAGCAACGUUUAGCUUGGUCAGUUGAUGGGUGACUGCUUGGGAAUACCAAGUGUU